AGGAUAGUAGUUAAAUAUAACAUUUGAAUUGCAAUCAGAAAGUGUUGGAAACAAUCUAUCUU
rnacentral:tRNA from 1 species